rnacentral:misc_RNA from 1 species
GACAAUACCAUGAUAUUGUAAAGGUAAAUACCAAUUUGCAUAUUGUCUUUGUUUCUAAUUCUUUUGGCAGCUCUAGUACCAUUACCAUUACUAUCUUGCAGAAAUUGGAAAAUAUGCAAUGGACGAUCAAUCAAGUUGAAAUGGACCUAAAACGAUUACCAGAUCAUCCAAGUACAUAAUUUUCUUCACCAGCUCUCCUUUAUAUGUAUGUAUUCUUUUCUUUUUUUAAAAAAA